UAUCAACCUAGAAAGCAGAAGUAGAAGAAACAACCUACGGGUUCUGGGUCUCGAAGAAUUAAUCAAAGGCCACGAACUUAUCAAUCACCCCUGCUGUGGCCCACUUCUGGAGGUCCAAGACGCCGAUUUCUACAAAGAAGGGAUCCGUAUGCUCCUCAACUACUGGACUAAAGUGUGUAAAGGUCCAGGAAAGCCCUUCAAGGAAAUUGAGAAGAUCCGAAAUUAAUUCUUAACGCAAACCAAGGAGUCCUCAAUAUAGUACAACUUCCAGAGGCACAUACAGAACUGCUUGCAUGAGAACACUUCAGAUCUUAGAGUAGAUAAUAGGACAUUUGUUCAAGGGGAGGGAAAGUGUUAAAACAUAGAGUACAGAACAUAGAGCAGUUGAGCGUGGGACAGGCCAUUUAGCCCCUGAUGUUGUGCCGAUUUUGAUGCCAAUUUAUACUAAAUGUCUUCUUCUAAUGCAUUAUCCAUAUCCUCCCAUUCCCUUUAUAAUUAUGUCUCUAUGUAUCUAUGUUAAAGUCUACCUGCUUCCACUACUACCCCUGUAACCCAUUCAGGACACCUAUCAUCCUUUAAAAAUGUACCCCUCACUUGUACCCCUUUAAAUGUACCCCUUUAAACUUCCCACAACUAACCUCAAAAUAUGUCAUCUGGUGCUUGACACUCCUACCCUAGGGAAAAGAUUCUGACCAUCUAUCCUAUCUAUGUUUCUCAUAAAGGUAAAGAAAGCAGUUGGUUUCAUAGAGUAAAUACUUUCUCCUCCUUGAAGUUGAGACAGAUCACUUUAAAAUAUCAAAGGUCACAAGUUAUCCCUAAAAAAGCAUUUAACUCAGUAGUCAAAGUGGCAACUGUGGAGUCGGGGUGGGGGGGGGGAAGUAAUUAUUGACAUUUCAGGUCAUUUUUUGUAUUGCUCCAGAUUUCAGUAUUUGCACUCUUUUGUAUUUCCAAGGUAUUUUCAUGUUUGACAUACAAACUGCAUAAAUUCUAUUUAGCAAAUGCUGUAAAGAGAGAGACACACAGAGGCAUAUCGAGGAAGGGAAUUCAAAAGUAUACAGUCCAGACAACAAAAUACCUCAACUACCAGUUGGAGGAGUGAUGGAUAUCAAGCACCUUCUCGAGGGCUGUGGGGUGGAGUUGUUGGAGCUGAUAUAACAUUAAACGUUCUUCAAAAUUAAUUCAUUAACGUUGAUGUUUUUAUAAAAAGGCAAGGAUUUCUUUGUUUUCAUGGGCCUCCUUCAGCCCCUGGAGACACCAGAGGUUUGUGCCCUGAUGCAGGGUUUCCACCUGAAAUGUCGACAAUUCCUUCCCUCCCACAGAUUCUGCUCAGUCCAUUGAGCUCCUCCAGCAGAUUAUGUGCUUAUCUUUCGACCCCUAUUCAUUGAACUGCAUCACCAUUUAUAUCAAUUUGUCUAUCCUGAGGGAAAUGGGCAAAGCCUCCUUUAAUUUCACACCCCUGAUUGCCCUGGUGAUGAUGACUGUGAACUGGCUUUAUGAAGCAAUGCAGUGUGUGCUAAAGGAAGAUCCCAUAGAGACCUCCCUGUGCAGAGCUGCAGCACCUAGAUACAGUGACUACAAGACAGAGCAUCAUCCCCUUAUUGUAAAUGUAAACUGUAUUCAGUUACAGAUGGAGUCAUGUCCAUUACUAACAUCAGUAAAAUGACACCUGCCGCUCAAUAUUAUUCAAUGGAUUUUCAAUGAUUUUGAGUCAGUGCAUUACUUACAUGAACCUUACGAACAAUUAUUAGAGAGUAUAAAAAUACUCUGUAAGUUUUAUACACAACAGUAUUUGAAGACAUAUUUAAAGAAAUACCACUUCUUCUUGGAUGAAAAUAAAAAAUGCAAAUGCUGGAAAUCUGAAAUAAAAACAGAAAAUGUUUGAAGCAGGCAGCAUCUGUUGAAAGAGAAAUAGUUAAUGCUAUGUCUCUGACCUGAAGUCAUCUUUUUGUAUCUUUCCACAAAUACUAACUGAUCUGAUGGGUGUUUUGAGUAUUUUCUGUUUUAAUUCCCCUUGCCUGAGCAGUUAGAUUAUCUUUCCUGGAUCUGUGAUUUGUCCACAGUAAAUAUUGCUAGGGACAGACAAUGACUGGUGGCCUUGCCAAUGCAUCAUAGAGUCUCUCAGUAUGGAAACAGGCCCUUCAACCCAACUUAUCCAUAUCAUCUGUGUAUCCCAGUGGGCUAGUCCCAUUUGCCCAUAUUUGGCCUAUAUCCCUCUAAACCUCAUCAAUCCAUCCAUCACCCCUUUGCAUGAAGAAUCUACCCGAUAUCCCCUUUAAAUCUCUGAUCUUAAAACUACACCCUCUUGUUUUGAGCACUCCCCCCACCCCAAUGAAAUAAAAACUAUCUGCUUUCAUCCUGACUUUGCCUUUCAUGAUCUUAUCAGGUCACCUGUCAGUCUCCUGUGUUCCAGGAAAUGACAAACAGAUCCUGAGAAGUGAAUUUGAAAAAACAUUUAGACUGUUCUUUGAUAGUAAUAUUGCAUCUAUUGAUGCAGAGUAGCCACAGAGCAUGGCCCAGCUCUAUCCAACAUAAUUGCUUAACUCUGGCUGAGAGGAUGUGUACUGUGAAGCACAAGCCAGUAUUAGUGGGUGGAAUGAAUGUCCUCAUAAGAUUAAGGAUUUAACUCAACGGGUCAGGUAGCAUCUAUGGAAAGAAAUGGACAGCCAAUGUUUUGUGCAAAGACUGUCAAUGUUUCAAGUUGAGAGCUUCAUUUUGACUGAGUCUGAGACCCGAAACAUUGACUAUCCAGUUCCCCCAUAGAUACUGGUCAACCCUCAGAGAUCCCUCAACACCUUGUGUGUUGCUCCAGAUUCUAGCAUCUGUAGAGUCUCGGGCCUCGUGUUGUACUGGCAAAGUAACUGAUUAAAUAGAACAAGCCUACAAUGUUCAGCCAUGGACAAGGAGAUAAUUGUCUGCAGUGAUGGAGCUUAUGUUAGACAGGUUAGAAAAUCUGACAAAGAUCAGAAGAGCAACACACACAAAAUGCUGAAGGAACAAUGUAUGUGGAAAGCAGGAGGCUUUGUAACUAUCAGAUUUUUCAAUAAGUUCCUUUCCAAUUAAGGCCUCAUAGGCAACACACACAAAAUGCUGGAGGAACUCAGGGGUCUGGCAGAUUCUGUGGAAAAGAAUACAGGUGACGUUUCGGGCCAAAACCUUCUCCAGUCCUGUUGAAGAGUCUCAGCCCGAAAUGUCGACUGUACUCUUUUCCUAGAUGCAGCCUGGCUUGCUGAGUUCCUCCAGCAUUUUGUGUAUGUUGCUUCGAUUUCCAUAUAACCAUAUAACAAUUACAGCACAGAAUCAGACCAUCUCGGCGCUUCUAGUCCGUGCCGAACUCUUACUCUCAUCUAGUCCCACUGACCUGCACUCAGCCCAUAACCUUCCAUUCCUUUCCUGUCCAUAUAGCUGUCCAAUUUAACUUUAAAUGACAACAUCGAACCUGCCUCAACCACUUCUGCUGGAAGCUCGCUCCACACAGCUACCACUCUUUGAGUAAAGAAGUUCCCCCUCAUGUUACCCCUAAACUUUUGCCCCUUAACUCUCAACUCACGUCUCUUGUUUGAAUCUCCCCCACUCUCAAUGGAAAAAGCCUAUCCACAUCAACUCUAUCCCCCUCAUAAUUUUAAAUACCUGUAUCAAGUCCCCCCUCAACCUUCUACAUUCCAGAGAAUAAAGACUCAACUUGUUCAACCUUUCUCUGUAACUCAGGUGAUGAAACCCAGGUAACAUUCUAGUAAAUCUUCUCUGUACUCUCUCUAUUUUGUUGACAUCUUUCCUAUAAUUCGGUGACCAAAACUGUACGCAAUACUCCAAACUUGGCCUCACCAAUGCCUUGUACAAUUUCAACAUUACAUCCCAACUCCUAUACUCAAUUAAAAGUUGCUGGUGAACGCAGCAGGCCA